rnacentral:rRNA from 1 species
AUGAACGCUGGCGGCGUGCCUCAUACAUGCAAGUCGAGCGAACGGACGAGAAGCUUGCUUCUCUGAUGUUAGCGGCGGACGGGUGAGUAACACGUGGAUAACCUACCUAUAAGACUGGGAUAACUUCGGGAAACCGUAGCUAAUACCGGAUAAUAUUUUGAACCGCAUGGUUCAAAAGUGAAAGACGGUCUUGCUGUCACUUAUAGAUGGAUCCGCGCUGCAUUAGCUAGUUGGUAAGGUAACGGCUUACCAAGGCAACGAUGCAUAGCCGACCUGAGAGGGUGAUCGGCCACACUGGAACUGAGACACGGUCCAGACUCCUACGGGAGGCAGCAGUAGGGAAUCUUCCGCAAUGGGCGAAAGCCUGACGGAGCAACGCCGCGUGAGUGAUGAAGGUCUUCGGAUCGUAAAACUCUGUUAUUAGGGAAGAACAUAUGUGUAAGUAACUGUGCACAUCUUGACGGUACCUAAUCAGAAAGCCACGGCUAACUGCGUG